CUUGCCAUAGAUGUGGGUGAUAGAGCCAUCAAGCCACAGUGUUCAGCUCUGAACAAUCACCCAUACUCAGAGGAAGGUCAGAACCCAUCAUCAUGCUUGUGAUGAGUCAUGCCAAACUGCACCUCGAGCUGUAGAUGAGGAGACACAGUUUGGAAAGGUUAAUUAACGUGCAACAAGCCACACAGCUGAAAAGAACUACUACUUGGACCUAAACCCAGAUCUUUACAUCAAAGCCCAUGCUGUUCCACUCCACCACACUGAGAAACUGCCUAAGGAUGCCUGACACCUACUUUCCAGAGGAAAAAGAGUGACAAAAUCUGAAAUAUAAGGACCAUCUGCAAAGAGAAACCAUUUGUCCUUAGCUCAGCCCCUGGCAUGUGCUUUAUGGGAACACGCUGCCUUGGGAAACAUCAGUUUAUGUCACUCAUUCAUCUGCUGCAUGGCUGUUAGAGGAGCAGACGUGCUUCAGGGGAGAUUCCCACUCCAGUCCUGAAUCAGCGUGCUAGAGGGCAAUUCUAAUUCUGAAAUCCAGUACAUGUAAACCACAUAUUUCAACAUCAGUGCUAUCACUAAUAAAAAUGAAAGUUCAUUUC